rnacentral:lncRNA from 1 species
CUUAUUCAUGUAGAAAACUACUGGAGGGAAGAAAUUACCAAGCAUACAAUUUCAAUGUAAGAUGCAAAGAAAGAGAAGCGUGAACUACAUGAAGAAUAUAAAACCCUUUUUAGUUUCUUUCAAGACUACCUAAUGUGAUAGAACAGAUCUGUUAAUUCUAGAUACAGAUAAUUUUGAAUAUCAGAUCAACGAUUGCUUCAAAUCAGAUUUUUAUAUCAAAUAAGCAAGUUUCUGUCCUCUGCUUCAGAGAAGACACAAUCAAUUCUAGCUUCCUUUAUACACUGCAGUUAUUGCUACUUUUGGCAUAGAUGAUCUGGCUCCAAAUUUGCUGUGAGUAGACCAAAUUUUUUUUUUUUUUAAUUGCCCCAGUAUAAAAAUAAAACUGCCUUUAUGAUAUUCCUGAUGUUGCACUAUCAAAUUGCAUAAGGCCUUCCAUCCUGUGGAAAACAUGAAGAGCAAAAGAAAAAGUGGGGGUAAUUAAGCAAUUUGCCAUUCACCCCUUAGCAGAGACCACAAAGUUUUGGAUUUAACUUGUGAGGUGUGGUGUGAGUCAGUCACUUGGUUUUAAGCAAAAGAAUAACACAAAUAAUGUACUAGUAAGGUUUUGUCUGGUAACGUAAAUAGACUUAGCUUCUGCUGUUAUGGCAGUUUAUGUAACAUUUUUCUGCUUUAUAUAAUAUUUCUCUUGCUUGUUCUUAGACAUUAAAAAAACAGAAGUCUGUACAAAACUGUUGGACAAGACUUUAUUUGUCCAAUUUAAAAUUGGUCACUGCAUUAGUAUUCUCUGAUACUGCAGUAUCUCUACUUCCUAUCAUGUUUUAAAAACAAAGUAGCAAAAGACAUGAAAUGAAGUUAUAUUUCAAUAUACUGUCUGUUCUUUCCCUUUGUUUGCCUCUAAUUAUUUAACAUCUUUUCUUGGAGCUUUGAAAGAAGAAGAGCGACCAUGUUGGGGUCAGGUGUACUCAGCUGGCAUAAAACACGGCCACAUGGAAGUGAUCAUUUUAUACCAUGUGAGGGUCUGGUAGCAUGGGUAAUCCUUGGAUUUUGCAGCAGCAGUGCUGAAGUUACUCAUAAAUUGUGCUGUGCAUUUGACAUACAGCCAACAACUGGAAGAAGCAAAUUCACCCCUCCCCAGAAUUGA